CUGGAGGUAUCAGAAGUGCGAAUGCUGACAUAAGUAACGAUAAAGCGGGUGAAAAGCCCGCUCGCCGGAAGACCAAGGGUUCCUGUCCAACGUUAAUCGGGGCAGGGUGAGUCGACCCCUAAGGCGAGGCCGAAAGGCGUAGUCGAUGGGAAACAGGUUAAUAUUCCUGUACUUGGUGUUACUGCGAAGGGGGGACGGAGAAGGCUAUGUUGGCCGGGCGACGGUUGUCCCGGUUUAAGCGUGUAGGCUGGUUUUCCAGGCAAAUCCGGAAAAUCAAGGCUGAGGCGUGAUGACGAGGCACUACGGUGCUGAAGCAACAAAUGCCCUGCUUCCAGGAAAAGCCUCUAAGCAUCAGGUAACAUCAAAUCGUACCCCAAACCGACACAGGUGGUCAGGUAGAGAAUACCAAGGCGCUUGAGAGAACUCGGGUGAAGGAACUAGGCAAAAUGGUGCCGUAACUUCGGGAGAAGGCACGCUGAUAUGUAGGUGAAGUCCCUCGCGGAUGGAGCUGAAAUCAGUCGAAGAUACCAGCUGGCUGCAACUGUUUAUUAAAAACACAGCACUGUGCAAACACGAAAGUGGACGUAUACGGUGUGACGCCUGCCCGGUGCCGGAAGGUUAAUUGAUGGGGUUAGCGCAAGCGAAGCUCUUGAUCGAAGCCCCGGUAAACGGCGGCCGUAACUAUAACGGUCCUAAGGUAGCGAAAUUCCUUGUCGGGUAAGUUCCGACCUGCACGAAUGGCGUAAUGAUGGCCAGGCUGUCUCCACCCGAGACUCAGUGAAAUUGAACUCGCUGUGAAGAUGCAGUGUACCCGCGGCAAGACGGAAAGACCCCGUGAACCUUUACUAUAGCUUGACACUGAACAUUGAGCCUUGAUGUGUAGGAUAGGUGGGAGGCUUUGAAGUGUGGACGCCAGUCUGCAUGGAGCCGACCUUGAAAUACCACCCUUUAAUGUUUGAUGUUCUAACGUUGACCCGUAAUCCGGGUUGCGGACAGUGUCUGGUGGGUAGUUUGACUGGGGCGGUCUCCUCCUAAAGAGUAACGGAGGAGCACGAAGGUUGGCUAAUCCUGGUCGGACAUCAGGAGGUUAGUGCAAUGGCAUAAGCCAGCUUGACUGCGAGCGUGACGGCGCGAGCAGGUGCGAAAGCAGGUCAUAGUG
rnacentral:rRNA from 1 species